rnacentral:rRNA from 1 species
AGUUCGAUCAUGGCUCAGAUUGAACUGGCGGGAUGCUUUACAUGCAAGUCAGACAGCAGCACGGACUUCGAUCUGGUGGCGAGCGAGCGGUGAGUAAUGUAUCGGAACAAUGCCUAAUGCUUGGGGAUAGCUACGCGGCGUAGCUAAUACCACAUACGCCCUUCGGGAAGCGGGGGACCUUCGGGCCUCGCACUAUUAGAGCGGCCGAUAUCGGAUUAGCUAGUUGGUGGGGUAACGGCUCACCAAGGCGACGAUCCGUAGCUGGUUUGAAGAGGACGACCAGCCACACUGGGACUGGGGAACUGCGGCCCAGACUCCUACGGGAGGCAGCGGUGGGGAAUUUUGGACAAUGGGGAAACCCUGAAGUCCAGCCAUCCCGCGUGUGCGAUGAAGGCCUUUCGGGUUGCCAGCACUUUUGGCAGGAAAAACGGCACGGGAUAAUACCCCGUGCAACUGACAGUACCUGCAGAAUAAGCACCGGCUAACUACGUGCCAGCAGCCGCGGUAAUACGUAGGGUGCAAGCGUUAAUCAGAUUACUGGGCGUAAAGCGUGCGCAGGCGGUUCGGAAAGAAGAUGUGAAAUCCCGAGCUUAACUUUGGAACUGCAUUUUUAACUACCGAGCUAGAGUGUAUCAGAGGGAGGUGGGGUCGCGUCGCAGCGGUAAAUGCGUAGAUAUGCGGAGGAACACCGAUGGCGAAGGCAGCCUCCUGGGAUAACACUGACGCUCAUGCACGAAAAAGCGUGGGGAGCAAACGGUUAAAGAUACCCUGGUAGUCACGCCUAACGAUAUCAGCUAGCUGUUGGGGCCUUCGGGCAACAGUAGCGCAGCUAACGCGUGAAGUUGACCGCCUGGAGAGUACGGUCGCAAGAUUAAAGCUCUGAAAGUCGGCAAAGAGGACCCGCACAAGCGGUGGAUGAUGUGGAUUAAUUCGAUGCAACGCGAAAAACCUUACCUACCCUUGACAUGUCUGGAAUCCCGAAGAGAUUUGCAGGAGUGCUCGCAAGAGAACCGGAACACAGGUGCUGCGUGGCUGUCGUCAGCUCGUGUCGUGAGAUGUUGGGUUAAGUCCGCAACGAGCGCAACCCUUGUCAUUAGUUGCUACGAAAGGGCACUCUAAUGAGACUGCCGGUGACAAACCGGAGGAAGGUGGGGAUGACGUCGUCCUCAUGGCCUUAUGGGUAGGGCUUCACACGUCAUACAAUGGUCCCGCAGAACAGAGGGUCGCCAACCCGCGAGAGGGUAAUCCCAGAAACCCGAUCGUAGUCCGGAUCGCAGUCUACUGCUUCGACUGCGUGAAGUCGGAAUCGCUAAUCGCGAAUCAGCAUGUCGCGGUGAAUACGUUCCCGGGUCUUGUACACACCGUCACACCAUGGGAGUGGGUUUUACCAAAGAAGUAGUUAGCCUAACCGUAGGAGGGGCGAUUACCACGGUAGGAUUCAUGGCUAAGGGGUGAAGUCGUAACAAGGUAA